rnacentral:rRNA from 1 species
AGUGAACGCUGGCGGUAGGCCUAACACAUGCAAGUCGAACGGCAGCACAGUAAGAGCUUGCCCUUACGGGUGGCGAGUGGCGGACGGGUGAGGAAUACAUCGGCAUCUACUUUUUCGUGGGGGAUAACGUAGGGAAACUUACGCUAAUACCGCAUACGACCUACGGGUGAAAGCAAGGGAUCUUCGGACCUUGCGCGAUUGAAUGAGCCGAUGUCGGAUUAGCUAGUUGGCGGGGUAAAGGCCCACCAAGGCGACGAUCCGUAGCUGGUCUGAGAGGAUGAUCAGCCACACUGGAACUGAGACACGGUCCAGACUCCUACGGGAGGCAGCAGUGGGGAAUAUUGCGCAAUGGGCGCAAGCCUGACCCAGCCAUACCGCGUGAGUGAAGAAGGCCUUCGGGUUGUAAAGCCCUUUUGUUGGGAAAGAAAAGCAGCAGGUUUAUACCCCGCUGUUCUGACGGUACCCAAAGAAUAAGCACCGGCUAACUUCGUG